rnacentral:rRNA from 1 species
UACGAAGGGGGCUAGCGUUGCUCGGAAUCACUGGGCGUAAAGGGUGCGUAGGCGGGUCUUUAAGUCAGGGGUGAAAUCCUGGAGCUCAACUCCAGAACUGCCUUUGAUACUGAAGAUCUUGAGUUCGGGAGAGGUGAGUGGAACUGCGAGUGUAGAGGUGAAAUUCGUAGAUAUUCGCAAGAACACCAGUGGCGAAGGCGGCUCACUGGCCCGAUACUGACGCUGAGGCACGAAAGCUAGGGGAGCGAACGGGAGUUAGAAAAC